UGCCCGUGCAGCGUACACGUCGACCUGCAUCCACGCCACCCUCUCUCUCUCUCGGCGCCACCCCUGGCCUCAGUCGCGUUCCGCGGCCAACUUGGUACACACGCCACUUUGUUGUCUCUCCCUCUCGGAGUUUCAUCCGCGUUUCUACGCCAUCGACGUCGCGUCGCGAGAUAAUCAUGCCGCGAUAUUUCGCUUCGAUCAGUCAUUGAUCCGUCGAUUGCACAACGUCGACUCGAGUUGAAACACUGUUUUUUCUGUGUUUCGCAACAAUCUCGACUCCGACACUCGUCUGGCACCCUCGGUUCGUCGCGUUCGAAUCAUGAUCGCGACAAGUUGAAGAUACUCGGUGGAACAUUGCGAGUGCGUUUACCGUUGAUAUCGUGUGCGCGAAUGUACUGUCCACGAAGACGACAGAAAUCGCGGUUACUGCGUGAAAACGCAAGAGGACCAACCGUCUGAAGAGGUGCAGCAGCUCGUCCGGGGUGAAUCGUCGCCGGAAGACCGUCGUAGGAAGAUCUUUCGUGGGGGAUCAAGCGGAGAGAGUCGUUCUUUGAUCAGCGUCGAGCGGCUACGGCAGGCCGACAGGAUUUCAUGUUCACGAAUUUCAGUAAACCAGGGUCGGGAUUGGAGAUAGACAAGAUGGACCAACAGUAUUGCCUACGGUGGAACAAUCAUCCAGCCAACCUCACAGACGUUCUCAGCUCCUUGCUUGCCAGAGAGGCACUCUGCGACGUUACCCUGGCGUGUGUUGGAGAGACAUUCAAGGCACACCAGACGAUACUCUCUGCAUGCAGUCCAUAUUUCGAGAGCAUUUUCCUCCAGAAUACCCAUCCCCAUCCAAUUAUAUUCCUGAAGGAUGUCAAUGACACGGAAAUGAAGGCGUUGCUGCACUUUAUGUAUAAGGGAGAAGUUAACGUUAGUCAGCAUCUACUACCGAUGUUCCUUAAAACAGCUGAGGCGUUACAGAUUAGAGGCCUCACUGAUAAUAGUGUAAAUAACAAGACGGAAGAGAAAAGUCCAUCGCCAGAACCAGAAACGCAAACUGGCAUUAGGCAUACUGAAUCGCCUAGCCUUCAACCUCUUCCUGAAAAGAGGAAACGGAAGGCUUCGGGCAGCUAUGAUGUUUCCCUUAGUGGCCCACCCAGUGAACGGUUCAUGUCAGAUUCUCAGGCAUCCUCACAAUGUAGUUACAAAUCAAGUCCUCCCGUAAUUCCAAAGUUAAAUAAUGCAAUGGGAGGUGAUAUGGAAGAUGGUGGUCGACCUAUGUCUCCUGCAUCGCAGCCACAACCUUCUAUCAAACAAGAAUUAGAUCAUCAUUUACCAGACUUCCAUGACAAUAUUUCCCUCCCAGGUCAUCCAGUUGGACUGCUAGGAGAAGAAGGAGGAGCUACAACAGGCACGCUAAGCGAUGGUGUGCCUGGAAUCGAAUCGUCUGAACACCAUAAUCCCCCAGAAAUGCUCGACGGACUUGAUGGUACGAUGCCCAGCGUGCCAGUCGGUCUCUCCUAUCACGAGAUGUUCGCCGUAUCGCUUGGUUCGCCUGCCCUAUGGAGAUGCCGAGCUUGCGGCAAACAGGUGACCAACCGUUGGCACCACUUCCACAUACACACGGCUCAACGGUCCCUGUGCCCUUAUUGCCCGGCCACCUACAGCAGAAUCGACACCCUCCGAUCGCACAUACGCACCAAGCACCGGGAGAUAGUGUUCGCUAAAGGUUCCUUGUAGAAGACGCUGAUUGCCCCGCGGAGGAAACGGCCACCGCCUCUUCCGCCACCCCGUCUGUUCGACGGCAGGCCUAUCGCGCCUUUCUUCGGCUUUGGACUGCCCUGACCGAGCCUCGAAGCUCGACAACGAGCCUAUGCCUACGAGGAGAACGCCUGACCAGACCUUCGACGAGCAUUUCCCACAUUCUCUCUUCUAUAUCGGUGAAGAUCCCGGGAAUCUCGGGGCUCUUGAAGCAUCACGAAUCUCGCGAGGAUACGCCGUGUAACGGGAUACACAGGGGUAUCGGUGCUAGGUCGGAAAGUUACGAAGACCGCGUUUUGAAUUUACGCUUCAAGUACUUCGAGACACGGUUCAGUGAUUCGGAACCUGACUCCUAGGGACAGUUAGUUUCGAGCUACGAUCCCGGGUACUUAAACCUGGUUCACUUUUGUCAACCUUUUGACCGCAUAACCUGAUCCAGUCAUAGUUUAAGAAUCAUAACCCAGCGUCCAAGCGGUCAGAAGGUUCACCGAGUUUUAAUUUCAAAUCACGUUAAAAACGAGAGAAAUAUCGCGAAAGAUGUGGACGUUAUCGGUUAUUUAGUUUGCAAUCGAACGGGUCGUUCCCUCGGGACAUUUCGGUUCGUGGUGGGAUAGUUUCCUACGAUCGUAAAGGACGCGGUUCGCGGGGCGAAACCAUGCAACGAAUGGCCUGAAACAAGUGUCGCGUGAAUGUGUUCAGCUUGUUGCUGAUCACCCUCGUGAUUGCGAGGAACAUCGAGGAGACACGAAGAGGAUGAAGCGGAGUAAACAGAUGUUGAAGACCAGGUGCAACGGAGUCAGAAUUUCGUGAGGACAAUCGAUAGUAGCGCUUCGAGCGGUCUCCUCGAACACGGGUACGUUGCUACCCCCAUAUUCCUGGCUGGUAUAUCGGACUUGUACCUCUUCUUCGCGUGUAAACGAUCGUACAAAUCGGUGGACACCGAAACUCGCUAGGAUUCGUGUAAAUAGUAUCGAAGUAUUGUAGACUGGCUCGUUUGGACCGUAAUCGUGUGCGGAUCCCUUUCGUUUAUCCCAGUGAAUCGUCGAGUUUGCGAGCGUGUUGGCUCCUCUUCCUUCUCUUCCCUUCGUAGAAUCCGAAGAAGGAAGGCCGCCGAAGGAAGAGGAGAAACGUGCAGAUGGGUCCAGCGAGCUUAUAUAACUAAACGGUCUAAUUCUUUACGCAAUGGAAGGCUGAAACGCGCGCUGUGAUUAUUGAACACCGAAAACUCAAAGGGUACUACGAAUUAUAAUCGCUGUCACGUUACAUGUAUCUUAAUGUUGUUCGUUAGGCUCGGUUUUACAAUCAAGCAUCACGAAGCGGACUCGAAG
rnacentral:misc_RNA from 1 species